AAUAUUGGACAAUGGGCGAAAGCCUGAUCCAGCCAUGCCGCGUGUGUGAAGAAGGUCUUCGGAUUGUAAAGCACUUUAAGUUGGGAGGAAGGGCAGUAAGUUCAUACCUUGCUGUUUUUACGUUACCGACAGAAUAAGCACCGGCUAACUCUUUGCCAGCAUCCGCGGUAAUACAGAGGGUGCAAGCGUUAAUCGGAAUUUCUGGGCGUAAAGCGCGAGUAGGUGGUUUGUUAAGUUGGAAGUGAAAGCCCCGGGCUCAACCUGGGAAUUGCUUUCAAAACUGACGAGCUAGAGUACGGUAGAGGGUAGUGGAAUUUCCUGUGUAGCGGUGAAAUGCGUAGAUAUAGGAAGGAACAUCAGUGGCGAAGGCGACUACCUGGACUGAUACUGACACUGAGGUGCGAAAGCGUGGGGAGCAAACAGG
rnacentral:rRNA from 1 species